rnacentral:lncRNA from 10 species
CACACUUUCCACACUGCCUUCCCCAAAUUCACUCUGCUCAAGUCCCCCACUCCAUCCUCGUGCCUCCACACAGUCUGUAGAUAAUGCUGUACUUUAUUUCAUCACGAAAAUACAAGCACUGAGUUGAUACUGCUUCAUCCUCUGAACACUCCCUACCUAUAAACCAAUCUAUAUUCCCAUCCAUAGCUUCUUUCAUUCCCAAAUUAGUGAAAAAGGUAUCUUUCUUCCCAAGUAAGGUAAAUCCGUCCCUCAUCUUGUGCUCAGGAUUCCUUCUCAUUCGGCCUCCCCAUGGAUCAUUCUAACACUGUCUCAACUCUUCAAUUUCUCUGACUUGUUCUACACCUGCCCAGCACUUAAAGUAUCUGGCCAAAUGAAUACAUGCAGGAGAUGAAAUAUGGAGAAAGAACAAAAGGACUAAUUCCACUUGUGAGAGAUGAAGGAACAGGAGCACUCUCAUGUUUCUUAGCCAGCAAAAAGAAACAUUAGAAGACAAGGACCAAGUGAAGGAGCCAGAGAAACAAGGUGCCCAUAUAAUAUAUAAUAUCAACAUUCAACCCUCGAGUACCUGAAUGUUGUAUCGCACUGCUGGACAAAGCACCAGAGCAGGCAUUGUCCUCUGGUACCAGGAACCAUCCAGUUUAUUACCAGCCUUUUGUUG